rnacentral:rRNA from 1 species
GAUGAACGCUGGCGGGCGUGGAUAAGGCAUGCAAGUCGAAAGGGUUUAGACCCUUGGCAAACGGGUUCGGAAUACAUAGGAAUCUUCCCUGAAGUCGCCGGAUAAUCCGGAGAAAUCCGGAAUAAUACGCGAUAUGUUCUACGGAAUAAAGAUUUAUCGCUUCAGGAGGAGCCUGUGUCCUAUCAGCUUGUUGGUGAGGUAAUAGCUCACCAAGGCUAUGACGGGUAGGGGGUGUGAGAGCACGGCCCCCAACAUUGGAACUGAGACACUGUCCAAACACCUACGGGUGGCUGCAGUCGAGAAUAUUCCACAAUGGGCGAAAGCCUGAUGGAGCGACGCCGCGUGCAGGAUGACGGUCUUCGGAUUGUAAACUGCUUUUCUCAGGGAAGAACGCAAGUGACUGUACCUGAGGAAUAAGAGGUUACUAACUCUGUGCCAGCAGUAGCGGUAUACAGAGACCUCAAGCGUUAUCCGGAUUUAUUGGGCGUAAAGCGCAGGUAGGCGGUAUGUUAGUCGCAUGUCAAAGCCCGGGGCUUAACCCCGAGAGGCAUGCCGAAACGGCAUGUCUAGAGAAUGUAGAGAUCAGUGGAAUUUAUGGUGUAGUAGUGAAAUGCGUUGAUAUCAUAAAGAACACCCAAGGCGAAGGCAACUGAUUGGCACACUUCUGACGCUGAGCUGCGAAAGCGUGGGUAGCGAAUAGGAUUAGAUACCCUAGUAGUCCACGCCCUAAACGAUGCAUAUUAGGUGCAGGGAGAAUCGACCCUUUCUGUGCCGUAGCUAACGCGUUAAAUAUGCCGCCUGGGAAGUACGAGCGCAAGCUUAAAACUCAAAGGAAUAGACGGGGAUCCGCACAAGUGGUGGAGCAUGUGGUUUAAUUCGACGGUAAGCGAGGCACCUCACCAGGGUUUGAAAUCUAGCUGGAGAUCUCAGAAAUGAGAAGUCCUUCGAGGCCGCUAGACCAGGUGCUGCAUGGUUGUCGUCAGCUCGUGUCGUAAGAUGUUCCGUUCAGUCGGGCAACG